GUAACACGUAGUCAACCUGCCCUCGGGUCGAGAAUAAUCUCGGGAAACUGAGGCUAAUGAGCGAUAGGUCAAGAUUCCUGGAAUGGGUUUUGGUCUAAACGGCGUGACAGCAUCUUGUCGUGUCCGCCCGAGGAUGGGACUGCGGCCGAUCAGGCUGUUGGUGGGGUAAAGGCCCACCAAACCAGUAACCGGUACGGGCUUUGAGAGAAGGAGCCCGGAGAUGGACACUGAGACAAGGGUCCAGGUCCUACGGGGCGCAGCAGGCGCGAAACCUUCGCAAUGCGCGCAAGCGCGACGAGGUUAUUCCGAGUGAUUUCCGCUGAGGAAAUCUUUUCUUAGAUCUAAAAAGUCUGGGGAAUAAGGGGAGGGCAAGUCUGGUGUCAGCCGCCGCGGUAAUACCAGCUCCUCGAGUGGUCAGGGCGUUUAUUGGGCCUAAAGCAUCCGUAGCCUGCUCGGUAGGUCUCCUGUUAAAUCCAACGGCUCAACCGUUGGCCUGCAGGAGAUACCGCUGGGCU
rnacentral:rRNA from 1 species